rnacentral:rRNA from 1 species
UACGUAGGGGGCGAGCGUUGUCCGGAUUUAUUGGGCGUAAAGAGCUCGUAGGCGGUUUGGCAAGUCGGGUGUGAAAUUUCGAGGCUCAACCUCGAAACGCCACUCGAUACUGCCAUGACUGGAGUCCGGUAGAGGAGUGCGGAAUUCCUGGUGUAGCGGUGAAAUGCGCAGAUAUCGGGAGGAACACCUAUGGCGAAGGCAGCUCGCUGGGACGUUACUGACGCUGAGACGCGAAAGCGUGGGGAGCAAACAGG